AGUGAACGCUGGCGGUAGGCCUAACACAUGCAAGUCGAACGGCAGCACAGUAAGAGCUUGCUCUUACGGGUGGCGAGUGGCGGACGGGUGAGGAAUACAUCGGAAUCUACUUUUUCGUGGGGGAUAACGUAGGGAAACUUACGCUAAUACCGCAUACGACCUACGGGCGAAAGCAGGGGAUCUUCGGACCUUGCGCGAUUGAAUGAGCCGAUGUCGGAUUAGCUAGUUGGCGGGGUAAAGGCCCACCAAGGCGACGAUCCGUAGCUGGUCUGAGAGGAUGAUCAGCCACACUGGAACUGAGACACGGUCCAGACUCCUACGGGAGGCAGCAGUGGGGAAUAUUGGACAAUGGGCGCAAGCCUGAUCCAGCCAUACCGCGUGGGUGAAGAAGGCCUUCGGGUUGUAAAGCCCUUUUGUUGGGAAAGAAAAGCAGCAGGUUAAUACCCCGCUGUUCUGACGGUACCCAAAGGAUAAGCACCGGCUAACUUCGUG
rnacentral:rRNA from 1 species